GCUACUAGGAUCUUUGGUUUGCCUGCUUGGCUGUGGGAGAAGAAUAUGAACAGAGAACAGGGAAGAGAUAAGACUUCUGUCUUCCAUUACAGUGAGAAGGUAUUUGGGGAUUCACUGUGAUGGAUG